AAAUCGAGAGCGUCUUCAUUGACCUCUCACCCUUCACAUCCACAUACACCUGUGCACCGUUUGGCUCUUAUAAAAGACGCAAGUCUGCAAUGAGAGUCAUCAAUUUUAUACAUACCCCAGUCUUAUGAAUGUAACAGUUUUAAUAAACAUAAUAAAACUUUUAACAACGGAUCUCUUGGUUCUCGCAUCGAAAGGAACGCAGCCAAACAUAAGCAAUACAACAAUUAACAAUGGAUCUCUAGGCUCUUGCAUCGAUGAAGAACG
rnacentral:misc_RNA from 1 species